CUACUCGACAAGGCCGGAAGCACUCUAAAUCCUAUGCUGCUGGAGAAUUACGAAGGCAAGUAGCCUAGGCCUAGGCUAUCGCUACGAUGGACGGUUCUAUAUGACGGAAAAGGUUGAAGGACUACAUUGGGAGACAAUGAGUGUUCCUGAGAAGGGGGAGGCCCCUGUCACCACUGCUAAGAUGGAUCCUCCUGGAAAGAGUACACACAUGAGCCGUAGAAAA